rnacentral:rRNA from 1 species
GAUGAACGCUGACAGAAUGCUUAACACAUGCAAGUCGAUGGGGAAGUGGUGCUUGCACCAUGGUAACCAUGGCGGACGGGUGAGUAACGCGUAAGGAACUUACCUGCGGGACCGGGAUAACAGCAGGAAACUGCUGACAAGACCGGAUAAGGUCAUUAAGCUGCAUAGCUUAGUGAUGAAAGGAGACGCCUGCGGAGAGCCUUGCGUCCUAUUAGCUAGUUGGAGGGGUAACGACCCACCAAGGCGAAGAUAGGUAGCCGGCCUGAGAGGGUGGACGGCCACAAGGGGACUGAGAUACGGCCCUUACUCCUACGGGAGGCAGCAGUGGGGAAUAUUGGACAAUGGGGGCAACCCUGAUCCAGCAAUUCUGUGUGCACGAAGACGGUUUUCGGAUUGUAAAGUGCUUUCAGCAGGGAAGAAGGAAGUGACGGUACCUGCAGAAGAAGCGACGGCUAAAUACGUG